GUGGGCCAAAGGAGGGGCGAGGCUGAGCCCGAAGCGUGGAGGUGACGCCCGUUUAGCUGGGCCGGGAGGGCCUUGGAGUAUCUGCAACCCAUGGACUUCAGGUUGGCCAAGUCUGGAACUAAACAUAAGAAAACCAAGCAAGAGGAAUCAAAUUUGGGACCUUGCACUUGCCAGGGAGGCAGCGGAACCACUGAGCUAAAUCCCCAGCCUUCAACCUGGAUUCUAUAGUUUGAAGAUACUAUACCUACUGAGAGACUUGGACUUAAAUUCUGGCUUACCCAUACAGCUCUAUGUGGAUCAUGGAGAUAAUUCUUUAGCAUCUCUGAGCCUUAAAAUGGGCAUAGAAAUUCCCACAUAAGGGUUGACAUCAAGAGAGAACUGAUAGUACAAUAAAUAUUAUUAUGGCUCAAAUCUAAAAUGUCCCCAAUAAGUAUCAUGUGUUGGGAGGUUGGGCCUGACUGGAAGAGGCAGGUCACUGAGAGUAUGACCUGGAAGGGUGUAUUCUUGCCCUUGGCACCUCCUUUCUUGCUGUGCUUCCUGGCUGCCAUGAUGUGAGUAGCUUUCCUCUACUAGACCCUUCUACUGUGCUAUUCCUGUUCUGGAGCUGGCCAGCCAUGGACUGAACUCACUGAAACGUGAGCCAAUUAUGAGCCUCUCCUAUUUUUAGUGUGAGUGUCAGAUAUUUUGUCCCAGUGAUAGGAAAGUGACUAAUACAGGAAAUUGAUACUAGGAGUGUGGAUGUUGCUAUUACUAUACCUAGCCAUGUGGUUUAAAAGCCUUUGGAACUGGAUUUUAGGAGGGGUAGGAAAAAUUUGGAGAUGCCAGCUAGAGAAGCCCUAGAAUGCUUAUGCCAAGUUUGAUGGUAAUUCUGGUUGGAGCUCAGAAGACCAGAAUGUAGAUAGAAAGGCAAACAAUGACCAGUUGGGAAUGAAGACUACUGGAAACUGGAUUGGAGGUAAUGUGUGUUUGACUUUUCCUAUAUUUUGCCUACAUCCUAAGAUUUCAUGUGAGGCUGAAUUUAAAGGUAAUGAACUAAUUAAUCUUUUGGAGGUAAUUUCAAGGGUGACCAACAUUCAGGCUGUGGCAUGGGUACUGCUUUUAGGUCUACAGUGAAACUCAGGAGCAAUGAGUAGAGCCAAAAUAUGUGGAAAAUUUUGCUGGUGGUCAGAAAAGAAGCAUGUGUAGUUGCGUCCAAAGGAUUUGUGGAUGCUGAAAGGUUUAUCACUAUUAAAAAACCCAAGUACUUUGUACAGAAACAAGAAGGAAGGUGCCUUGGUGGCAUCUCAGAAGUCAGCAAGACCAUACCCAUCUCAAGUUCAGGGGUACAAAACUAUAAAUAUUUCAUUUGAGAAGAGAGUUAUUGGGAUGCCUGCUCAUUCAGGGCUGUAUGAGAAAGUGUGUUCGGUCAUCCAGACACUCAGAUACUGAUAUAAAUAUGGUCCAAGGGAGCCUGUCUAUGUUCAAGCUGGAAGCUGACCAUGGCAUCAUCCAGGUGGUGCUGGUUUUUCAAGCAUGCAAAAUGCAAGAGUUAUGAGGUCAUGAAGAAUCCACUCAGCCUUCAGAAGAAGGCCUGGGAAGCCAGAAAAAUGUGUGAUGGGGACACAUUCCCCGCUAUGAGCCCACUUGUUAUGGCUUGUGUUUAGAUGUCCCCCCAAAGCCUCAUGCUUUUCCGGAGGUGGUUGAAUAUAGAAUGUGUGGUUGAUUCAUGGUGGGGCUAGGCCUGAAGGCACUGGGAUUAAAGGCAUAAGUACUACCUGCCCCAAGUAGUCUGAAUAAGAUAAAAGGGACAGGAAGCUGGUAGGGCUCUUGUGUUGCUUUUGGUGCCUUCCUCCACCAUGAACUAUUGCUCUUCUGCCACCCUGCCUUGGAGCCAGCCAAUUACGGACUGAAACCUCUAUGAACUGUAAGCCAAAUAAAGCUUUCCUCAUUUAACUUUGGUGUUGGAUAUUUUGUCUCAACAAUGAGAGAAAAAUAACUAACACACCAUUGGAGGGCAAUGAAUGAAGCUGCCAGAGUGAAGCUGAAAGGUGCAGUGGAGACCCCAGGAAGUUGCCAAUGCCAGAAACAUGGAAUGUCUACUGAGGAAAACCACAUGGAUCAAGCCAAGAGAAAAGCCACGUGGGCUGCUACCAGCAAGGCCAUAGGAGCAGGGCUGCCUGCACCCUGUGGAGUUCACAUCUCCCCCAAACCUGUCCUUGUUGCUGGACUUGUAACUACAAGAUUUAAUAUUUGCCCUGCUGGUUUUCAGUCUUGUUUUAGUGCUACUACUUUCUAUUCCCCUAUUUCUUCCUUUUAGAAUGGGAAUGUUUUCCCUUUGCCAUUGUAUAUUAGAA